GACGAACGCUGGCGGCGUGCUUAACACAUGCAAGUCGAACGGAAAGGCCCUGCUUUUGUGGGGUGCUCGAGUGGCGAACGGGUGAGUAACACGUGAGUAACCUGCCCUUGACUUUGGGAUAACUUCAGGAAACUGGGGCUAAUACCGGAUAGGAGCUCCUGCUGCAUGGUGUGGGUUGGUAAGUUUCGGCGGUUGGGGAUGGACUCGCGGCUUAUCAGCUUGUUGGUGGGGUAGUGGCUUACCAAGGCUUUGACGGGUAGCCGGCCUGAGAGGGUGACCGGCCACAUUGGGACUGAGAGACGGCCCAGACUCCUACGGGAGGCAGCAGUGGGGAAUAUUGCACAAUGGGCGGAAGCGUGAUGCAGCAACGCGGCGUGCGGGAUGACGGCCUUCGGGGUGUAAACCGCUUUCGCAUGUGACGAAGCGUGAGUGACGGUAAUGGGUAAAGAAGCACCGGCUAACUACGUG
rnacentral:rRNA from 1 species